CGGCGUGCCUAAUACAUGCAAGUCGAGCGAACAGAAGGGAGCUUGCUCCCGGAUGUUAGCGGCGGACGGGUGAGUAACACGUGGGUAACCUGCCUGUAAGACUGGGAUAACUCCGGGAAACCGGAGCUAAUACCGGAUAGUUCCUUGAACCGCAUGGUUCAAGGAUGAAAGACGGUUUCGGCUGUCACUUACAGAUGGACCCGCGGCGCAUUAGCUAGUUGGUGGGGUAAUGGCUCACCAAGGCGACGAUGCGUAGCCGACCUGAGAGGGUGAUCGGCCACACUGGGACUGAGACACGGCCCAGACUCCUACGGGAGGCAGCAGUAGGGAAUCUUCCGCAAUGGACGAAAGUCUGACGGAGCAACGCCGCGUGAGUGAUGAAGGUUUUCGGAUCGUAAAGCUCUGUUGUUAGGGAAGAACAAGUGCGAGAGUAACUGCUCGCACCUUGACGGUACCUAACCAGAAAGCCACGGCUAACUACGUGCCAGCAGCCGCGGUAAUACGUAGGUGGCAAGCGUUGUCCGGAAUUAUUGGGCGUAAAGGGCUCGCAGGCGGUUUCUUAAGUCUGAUGUGAAAGCCCCCGGCUCAACCGGGGAGGGUCAUUGGAAACUGGGAAACUUGAGUGCAGAAGAGGAGAGUGGAAUUCCACGUGUAGCGGUGAAAUGCGUAGAGAUGUGGAGGAACACCAGUGGCGAAGGCGACUCUCUGGUCUGUAACUGACGCUGAGGAGCGAAAGCGUGGGGAGCGAACAGGAUUAGAUACCCUGGUAGUCCACGCCGUAAACGAUGAGUGCUAAGUGUUAGGGGGUUUCCGCCCCUUAGUGCUGCAGCUAACGCAUUAAGCACUCCGCCUGGGGAGUACGGUCGCAAGACUGAAACUCAAAGGAAUUGACGGGGGCCCGCACAAGCGGUGGAGCAUGUGGUUUAAUUCGAAGCAACGCGAAGAACCUUACCAGGUCUUGACAUCCUCUGACAACCCUAGAGAUAGGGCUUUCCCUUCGGGGACAGAGUGACAGGUGGUGCAUGGUUGUCGUCAGCUCGUGUCGUGAGAUGUUGGGUUAAGUCCCGCAACGAGCGCAACCCUUGAUCUUAGUUGCCAGCAUUUAGUUGGGCACUCUAAGGUGACUGCCGGUGACAAACCGGAGGAAGGUGGGGAUGACGUCAAAUCAUCAUGCCCCUUAUGACCUGGGCUACACACGUGCUACAAUGGACAGAACAAAGGGCUGCGAGACCGCAAGGUUUAGCCAA
rnacentral:rRNA from 1 species